CUCCUUUAAGUCUGUAGCUCCAGCUCAGACUUCAGUACAACAAACACUGCUCUAGGAGAGUUUGCCUAGUGCAGUAGUGCCCAACUGUUUGCAGAGACUAGGAUGGCUGACGGGCCUGUGAAGGCACCGUGGUGAGAGGAGACGACAGAGCUUCCUUACUGAAAGACAACAUUGGGUGUCGCCAGAUCUAGAGCGUGGGCUGCCUGGGAUACUGUCCUUGUGAGAGCUGGAGGAGUUGUGAGAGCUGCAAAAGGAACCAUCUUCUUCUCCUGAACUGGACGACUCCUCUGAGCUGGAGGACUCAUCUGAGAACGGACUGCUGCUCAGCAGAGUGGCCUUCUGCAGAAACACAGAGUACUCAUUAGUACUGGUGUUCACCAGGAAACUAAAAACACAAUCGUAUUUCUUCACACAAUCAUACUUACUCCCUUCAGAGUAGUGUAUACUGGUGUGCUCAUGUUUUUAUAAACCAGGGAUGUGUACAUUUCAAAGGCCGGAUAAGAGGAUUGCAACGAGGAGUCUGCAAAAAAAAGAGUAUGAGUUCUGAGUUCAUAGUUUGAACUAGGACUAGUUAUGAUGCUCUCACACUUACCUUUGCUAGCUGAGUCUGUGUAGGAUGUCUCAGACAGCCUUAUUCCUGAUUUAGCCACUGCAUAGAUGCGACUCUCCUAUAGCAACACAAGCACGUUAAAAAGUACUCACUGUCCACUACAUUAGGUAUACUUGCACCAUAGAAUAUAAUUUACCGUCCAGACUGCUCAUUAUCAAAUGACUAAAUGGGCAGAUUUAGAAUGGAAGAAGGGAAAGUGAGCUGUUUACUUUAUGUGAGGCAACUCAAAGUGGUCAGGCUCCCCCUUGUCAUCAAAGAUGCAGUUAAGUAGACAGUACAAGUUAUUGUUUUAAGUGCUGAUUCUAAUAGUGGUUAACUUCUCUGUCCACUUAUGGCAUUUUAAAUGUUAUGUACUGUAACGUGUUGUCUGUGUAGUCAAAAAGUGAUUCUAAAUUCUAAAGGGGUCAUUGAUUGUGUUUGACUUUAUAUGUUACACUGUAAACAUAAAUUCAUAAUACGGGUGCAGCUAUUGUUAUUUUAAUAAUCGAGUAAUCUAUCGAUUAAUUUGUUCGAUUAAUCAAGUACCGUAAUCAGAUAAUACACACUUAAGAGCCAUGCUGCGUAUUUUAGGGAUAACAGUUUAAAUAAACAAAAUACCGUAAUCAGAUAAUACACACUUAAGAGCCAUGCUGCGUAUUUUAGGGAUAAUAGUUUAAAUAAACAAAACAUUUUCUGCUUUCCAUAACCUUCAUUUUUUCCCCUAAUGAAUGCACAUCAUUAACACUGAAAUUAUACUUUAAACACAGAUCACGGCACACACAUACCACUGCUCUCAUGGCGCUCUAUUGCGGCGGUUGAAUCCGUGUAUAUAAAGUUCUAGGCACUCCAUGUGGUCCAGAUUUUAUAUAUUUUUAAUAUAUGAAUGAAACGAUGAAUAGAAGCAACAGAAUAAAAAUUUUAACUUUUUUCUAAUCAAAUUAAUCAAUUUCAUUGCAGCCCUAAUUCAUAUAAU